rnacentral:rRNA from 1 species
CCUACGGGUGGCAGCAGUGGGGAAUAUUGCACAAUGGGCGCAAGCCUGACGCAGCGACGCCGCGUGAGUGAUGAAGGUCUUCGGAUCGUAAACCUCUGUCAGCAGGGAGGAACGUUCAGUGUGCUAAUCAGCAGUGAAUUGACGGUACCUGCAAAAGAAGCACCGGCUAACUCCGUGCCAGCAGCCGCGGUAAUACGGAGGGUGCGAGCGUUAAUCGGAAUUACUGGGCGUAAAGCGCUCGCAGGCGGUAUGUCAAGUCAAGGGUGAAAUCCCCGCGCUCAACCUGGGAACUGCCUUUGACACUGGCAAACUUGAGUGUGGUAGAGGAUAGUGGAAUUCCAGGUGUAGGAGUGAAAUGCGUAGAGAUCUGGAGGAAUAUCAGUGGCGAAGGCGACCCUCUGGAACAUAACUGACGCUGAGGAGCGAAAGCGUGGGUAGCAAACAGGAUUAGAUACCCCGGUAGUC